rnacentral:lncRNA from 1 species
GAAAAAUCCCUGAAACUGGCACUCUCAGCAAAGGGAGCAUCUCAAGGACCUUGGGCUGAGUCCUAUUCAUCGGGGAGAGCAGACUCCUGGGAUGCACGUUCUUCACUUGUCCUGUGAUUAACUGUUGGUCUUCCAAAGAAUGAGCCAGAUGGUUCCCAUGAGAAGUGAUCAGCUCUCCUGGAGUCUAUGAACCAGAAAAAGACAGAGUCUGGGUGCCUCUUGCCAGGACCUGUCUGAAGCUGAGGUGAUGAGUGCAGGUACACUGGGAGCUGGUGCCUGGGGGAUUCCCUCCACCUCAGCUCAUCAGCCCCACAAACUGAAGGGACAGCUUCUCCCAGCUUAAGGGCAUCACAGAGCAUAAGGUCAGCCCUGCUGAUUGGAUUCGGACCUCGGCAGUGCUUUGCUCCUGUGCAAAUUCCUUUUAGCAUCUCAUUCUGCAGACAGCGCAUCUGAUCGGUGCUCUCCACCUCAAUUUGAAGGUGGGAAGAGGGGAAAGCACGGUUUUGGCAGUUGUUUUGCUGGGGAAGAACUAUAUAUAUACAGGGUGGGGAGUGAGUGGCAAAUAUAGGCUAAAGAGCUGUGUUCCUCCACGCUGAUCUGCACACUGUGCAUUGACCAGCAGCCAAUGCUGCUUCCUGCCAUGGCACUGGGAUCAAGGUCUCCACAAGAGAGGGGAAAAAAUAGCAGUGUUUAUCUGCUGACCUCUUUUAAAAUUGCUCUUACCUUAAUUUCU